UCCCUGGUGGUCCAGUGGCUAAGACUCUGAGCUCCCAAUGCGGGGGACCUGGGUUCAAUCCCUGGUCAGGGAA
rnacentral:tRNA from 1 species